AGUGAACGCUGGCGGCGUGCCUAACACAUGCAAGUCGAACGGACGAAGAGAGCUUGCUCUCCUAGUUAGUGGCGCACGGGUGAGUAACACGUAGCUAACCUGCCCCAUAGUAAGGGACAACAGUUGGAAACGACUGCUAAUACCUUAUACUCCUUCUCUACCUAAGUGGAGUCGGGAAAGUUUUUUCGCUAUGGGAUGGGGCCGCGGCCUAUCAGCUUGUUGGGGAGGUAAUGGCUCACCAAGGCUAUGACGGGUAGCUGGUCUGAGAGGAUGAUCAGCCACAUUGGAACUGAGACACGGUCCAAACUCCUACGGGAGGCAGCAGUGGGGAAUUUUACACAAUGGGCGAAAGCCUGAUGUAGCAACGCCGCGUGGAGGAUGAAGGAUUUAGGUUCGUAAACUCCUUUUAUAAGGGAAGAAAUUUGACGGUACCUUAUGAAUAAGCACCGGCUAACUCCGUGCCAGCCGCCGCAGUAA
rnacentral:rRNA from 1 species